CUGAUCUCUGGCCCUCGGUUAUUCGGCACAAGUUUCAGUUAUGACAAGUUCCGAGAAACAUGAGGUCCCUGAUUUCUCUCAGUCUGCUGCUGGCUGUCUUCUUCUCCUGUGUCCAGGCCGGUGAGGUGCUGACACAGCCGCCGACUCUCACCGGUAAAACCGGCCAGUCCCUGAGACUGACCUGCAGAACCAGCGGAUUUAAUUACAACAGCUACUACUACUGUAUGUACUGGUACCGGCAGCUUCCCGGGAAGCAGCGGGAAAAGCUCCUCACUUCUGACAAACACUCCAGCAACAGUUUCGAGUCCGGGGUUGGAAACCGCGUCACUGUCGUCAGAGAGAAUUCCAAUAACAUCUUCGAUCUGAUCAUCAAAAGCCCGAGAGUGGAGGACACCGCGACCUACUACUGUGCAGCGGAGUCACAAUGAGAGGAAACUGGGCUGAACUCCUACAAAUACACAGGGGGAGGAAAGGCAGCCCCUCCCAUCCUAAACUGACUGAUGGACAUCCAUGUGGUCAAUGCUGUAUCUGCAGCCAAGUUUAAAGGAAAAGCUGAAAAUGGAUUUACUCUCACACUAAAUCUUCACAGUGAAUCGUUGUUUGAUU